AAAGUCUAACCUGCCCAAUGAUAUAAAAUAUUAAAUGGCCGCGAUAUUUUGAUCGUGCAAAGGUAGCAUAAUCAUUAGUUUCUUAAUUAGGAACUGGUAUGAAAGGUUGAACGAGAAAAUUACUGUCUCAAUUUAAUUUUAUUAGAAUUUUAUUUUUAAGUAAAAAAGCUUAAAUUAAUUUAAAAGACGAGAAGACCCUAUAGAGUUUUAUAUUUAAUUAUAUUAAAAAAAAAUUUAGAAUUCAAUUUUUUUUUUAUUGUUAAGUAUUUGGUUGGGGUGAUUAAAAAAUUAAAAAAACUUUUUUUAAUUGAUUACAUUGAUAUAUGAAUAAGUGAUCCA
rnacentral:rRNA from 1 species